AGGGAUCAUAGUCCAAAUAAUUAUGACGUCUUGAAAGGCUAUUAUAUUAUAUACUUUUAUUAAUUGUUUUUUUGCUUUUAGUUUGUUAUUAUUUUAUGAUUUUCAAGUGAUUUGCUGACUCCCCCGUUUCAAUGCACAUAGAGGCGCUUGCCAUAUGAACUUUGACUCUGGAGGCUCACAGAUCAAAUAGAUUUGUUUUCAU
rnacentral:lncRNA from 1 species